CAGGGCUGGAUCCUCAUCCUCUGGUGGGGCGGUGGGGGUCACAGAGGGUGCUUCGGGGACAGCGGCAGCUGGGGUCACUGGGGCCGGGCUCGUCGAGGUCCCCUCAGGAGAGGGCGCUGGGCUCUGGGGGGCAGGGCUGUGUAUGGCCUGCCCGGCGGGUGUGUGGUCCACCUCCAGCCCUGCCUGCCGCAGGAUGUCGAUGACUGUGUUGUUCCCCAGAAAGUG
rnacentral:lncRNA from 1 species